rnacentral:rRNA from 1 species
GAUGAACGCUGGCGGCGUGCCUAAUACAUGCAAGUCGAGCGAACAGACGAGGAGCUUGCUCCUCUGACGUUAGCGGCGGACGGGUGAGUAACACGUGGAUAACCUACCUAUAAGACUGGGAUAACUUCGGGAAACCGGAGCUAAUACCGGAUAAUAUAUUGAACCGCAUGGUUCAAUAGUGAAAGACGGUUUUGCUGUCACUUAUAGAUGGAUCCGCGCCGCAUUAGCUAGUUGGUAAGGUAACGGCUUACCAAGGCAACGAUGCGUAGCCGACCUGAGAGGGUGAUCGGCCACACUGGAACUGAGACACGGUCCAGACUCCUACGGGAGGCAGCAGUAGGGAAUCUUCCGCAAUGGGCGAAAGCCUGACGGAGCAACGCCGCGUGAGUGAUGAAGGUCUUCGGAUCGUAAAACUCUGUUAUUAGGGAAAAACAAAUGUGUAAGUAACUAUGCACGACUUGACGGUACCUAAUCAGAAAGCCACGGCUAACUACGUG